GUCAUACACCUGCACCCGGGAGGAAAGGCGAGGCUCUGCAUCUAGAUUUACCUCGUUCUCUUUUGUCUCCGCUUUUUUUUCACAUUUCCUUGCGACCCUGGCCCUUGAGCGACAAAAAGGGGAAGCCAAGGCUGGCCCGAGGAACGGAGAGGGCACAUGGCCUAGCCACAAGUGGAGCUUCUGCUCCGCCCGAAGGGAUGCGCUGGAGCGGCCUCUUCCUUCUGCCACGGUCUUUCUUUGCCAACUAGUAGGUGGAGACUGGACCUCAGAAGAGGGAGUGGGUGCCCCGAGAACUCACAGCUAGCGGACAGUGGAAAGGGCAGGAGCCGGACCAAGGUGAGGACAGUGGAACUGAAGGCCGCUGGUUACCUCUCCUGCCCUCCGCUGGCCACAGUGGAGAAGACAGCCCCUCCCUCCUGCUCUGACCUGACAGUGUUCAUCCAUCGCCCUGUAUUAGCGAAGAACAACAUCAAGCUGGCUAGCAAGGAACUGUAUACAGGGUCCAGCUGGGUAUCACACUGGAUCUCACCCAAAGCUUAGAUGUGAUCCAGCUCAGUAUCACAAAGCAGAACGAAAAGGAUGUGUUUGGGCUGAGAGGCCAUACAUUGGCUCCGGCAUGACGGGUGACUUCUUCCGAGUCUGGCUUCUGCAGCACACAGGGCUUCGCCAGCACCCAGCUCCUGCAGCAUGGGCAGCUCCUGUGACAGCAGGCGCCCGCAGCCUGCAAAGCGUCUCCAGUGCCGCCGCCUCAGUGAACCUCAACCAGCGGCACCUAGCAGCUUUCUCUGCCACCCUCUUCAGGCAGGAAGCCCGCCUGACCCCAUGUCUCAGGCUGCCAGAGGAGCGUGCGAUGAGGAAGGCUGGACUGUCUUCACAGGACACCAGGGAGAAGCCUCAAGCCACUGCCCCCUGACAAGUCGCAGCUCUCCAGCCUGUCUCCUCACUCCCCUCCCCUCCACAUGGGGGGGUUGGGGUGGGGGCGGGGAAGGUUCGGGGCAGGGGUCAUUUCAGCUACUGGGCACCAGUCUCCUCCUCAUGUUUAUCCUGUUCCCUUUGCUUGAAAGGUUCGUACUCCAGAUCCUUGUAAAACCGCUUCUCACCCUUUGAGUCUCAGCUUAAAUGUCCCCUCCUUGGAGGGGUCUUCCCUGACAAUGAAGCUCCGACCGUCCUCUCCUGUUUUACCCA
rnacentral:lncRNA from 1 species